GUUUGACAGUCCAGCUGAUGAGGCCUCUCCCUUCAGUGAAACGGACCGCACUUCCCCCUCAUGUUUAUUUUUCUUCAUCCUUCACAAUAUCACCCAUGGGUUGUGAAUAUAUACCAGAUGUUUUAAUAGGUGUGAUACAGAGAAUUCUAUAAAAUAAACACUGCAAUAUUCGUUUUUUCAUGAAAAAUUCACCCAAGAUGUUAAACCCUUCGCAGAAUCAGAUAUGCCCAGUGUUUAAUCUUGCUUCAUUCCCUUCAUGCCCACAUCGUUCUGAAAAUUCUUCUUCUAACCCGUUUCUAUAACUAGUAAUCAAAUUUCUAGAAAGCCUAAUCCCUACCCAUGAGACUGAAUUUCACCCUGACCUUCAUCACGCUACAUCCAGCAGCACUGACUUCCACCAGUUUGUUUCAAUAUUCCUCUUUGCUACCUAUGAGCCACCUGCUUAGCCUUACAAAUCUCCCAUGGGAAAACAUUAAUUUUUCAGAAUCAGUAAAGCCUGUGUUGAUGAGAAGAAACAUAUAGUUUAAGCCGUGAUAAUUUGCAAGAUUGCCUCUCUCACCAUGGAAUUAGUGUCUCGCCUUAUUGGGCAGAGCACUAUCAAUUUCUUUUCUACAUUCUCCCUUUCAAUUCUGCCUCCUUAUUGUACAUAAAAAUAAGCAAUAGGCUUAAGAGUGAGUCACACACUUUUCAAUUGCCUCCUACUGGAUGCUUUAACAUUUUGAUGAAAUCCUCAGGCCAGCAGUUCAGUAACAGAAGUCAGCAUGCAUUAGAAAAAAAACCAAUAUUUUAUUUAAACAACAUUCCUUGAAUUUUCCUCUUACGAAUAGAAAAAAAAAGCUGGAUCAAAGAUAAUCUAAGAUAAUUCUCACCAUAUGAACACAAAGAGAUGCAAUAUCAUUAUGAUAAUUGAGGUGAAUUUUUCUCUAUAUAGCUUAGCUUUAUUCCAAAAAAGGAAUCCUGCCUUAUGCAGAAAAUCUUCUUAAUUUUUAUUCAUGUACAGAAAUUGAAAAAUGUUUAAUUUUGAGUAAGCUUUCUUCUAAAAAAUGUUUAGAUUCAGUGUUCUGACGUAAGGGAGAUUAUGAUUUUUAGUGGAUGUUUUUGCAGUGAUAUAGGUUCUCUUCCAAGGCUUCUUCCGUAGAAAUCAGAAAAGGACCAAAAAUUGUUUACUUUGCAGGCAAAUCCAAUGAUAAAUAGCAAUUUAAUAUCUGCUAUGCGCAUAAGCUAUAUUUACUUUAAAAGCAUGGGUACUAGCAAAUUUUCAUACUAAGAUACAGGGUUUAGGAAUGAAGUUAAAGACACAGUACUAUUUAAUGCGAAGUUUUUUUGAAAGCUGCUAAGAAAAGAAUAUUCAAAAUUCCUUUAGAAGUUCAUCAUCUUCUCAUUUAUUUUCAUGAAUAAAGUUUGUUCUUUAAAUAUUUUAUGUGAAGCUUGUUUCACACUUUCAUUUCUCAGGCUAGAAAUCAAGGAGUUCAAGGAGAUGGUCACACACAAGUUCGGUCUCUGAAUCACAGAAUCGCAGAGAGCUCUCGGUCUGAGCUUCUGUCCAUGGCCACAAAGAGUUGCAGACUGCAGGUUGAGCAAUGCAGGUUGAGAAAGCAAAGAGGUGAGCAAGGCAGGUUGAGAAAGCUCCAUGCACACUGUCUGCAGAGAUAAUUUUUGGUAUGUCAAUUUCAUUGCAGAUAUAAGAUAUGGAAAUAAUGGAAAAGAGAGAGAAAGAGAGAGAGAGACUAAGAGAGAGACAGAGAGAGAGACCGGCAUAGGGCUUAGUAUAUGCUUGCAUAGGUCACAGUUUGACUUCAGGAAUGUGAUGGGAAUGACAGCCAUAACUUCGUUGGCACAGGAUUAGGGUAGCUGCCUAAUAUAGCAUCAGGAGAUUGACAUGUAGCUAGCAGCCUCUCCAGGGCCCUGUGGUGAGCAGUAUAUACAGUUUGUGUGUAAUGGUGUGCAUACCUUGCAGUGGAUAUCCAAUGGCAAUAAAAGGGUGGCACUGUGUCAGUGAAUGCAAGAAGAUCUCGGGGCAGUAC
rnacentral:lncRNA from 1 species